rnacentral:rRNA from 1 species
CCUACGGGCGGCAGCAGUGAGGAAUAUUGGUCAAUGGGCGGGAGCCUGAACCAGCCAAGUAGCGUGAGGGACGACGGUCCUAUGGAUUGUAAACCUCUUUUGUCGGGGAACAAAGGCGCCCACGGGUGGGCGGAUGAGUGUACUCGAAGAAAAAGCAUCGGCUAACUCCGUGCCAGCAGCCGCGGUAAUACGGAGGAUGCGAGCGUUAUCCGGAUUUAUUGGGUUUAAAGGGUGCGUAGGUGGACAGUUAAGUCAGCGGUAAAAAUGCGGUGCUCAACGCCGUACAGCCGUUGAAACUGGCAGUCUUGAGUACACUAGAGGUAGGCGGAAUGCGUGGUGUAGCGGUGAAAUGCUUAGAUAUCACGAAGAACUCCGAUUGCGAAGGCAGCAUAC